rnacentral:ncRNA from 2 species
AUGUGAUUAAGAGGCCGCGAUUUGUUAAUAGUACUACAGUAAAAUAAACUGUAGGAAAGGAACAGUCGCCGAAAUACAGGAUACCUGUAUUGGGACUAUGCUGAAUAAGUAUAGUACUGUCAUUAGAAAAUUGCCCAAUUUUCUAAUGGAGCGCUUAACACAUU